rnacentral:rRNA from 1 species
GACGAACGCUGGCGGCGUGCCUAAUACAUGCAAGUUGAGCGCUGAAGGUUGGUACUUGUACCGACUGGAUGAGCAGCGAACGGGUGAGUAACGCGUGGGGAAUCUGCCUUUGAGCGGGGGACAACAUUUGGAAACGAAUGCUAAUACCGCAUAAAAACUUUAAACACAAGUUUUAAGUUUGAAAGAUGCAAUUGCAUCACUCAAAGAUGAUCCCGCGUUGUAUUAGCUAGUUGGUGAGGUAAAGGCUCACCAAGGCGAUGAUACAUAGCCGACCUGAGAGGGUGAUCGGCCACAUUGGGACUGAGACACGGCCCAAACUCCUACGGGAGGCAGCAGUAGGGAAUCUUCGGCAAUGGACGAAAGUCUGACCGAGCAACGCCGCGUGAGUGAAGAAGGUUUUCGGAUCGUAAAACUCUGUUGGUAGAGAAGAACGUUGGUGAGAGUGGAAAGCUCAUCAAGUGACGGUAACUACCCAGAAAGGGACGGCCAACUACGUGCCAGCAGCCGCCGCGG